ensembl:miRNA
UUCUGGUUUGCCUGGAACUGAGAGGUUUCCUGGGAUGUGGGGCUACCAGUGCUAAAACCAGGACAGUU